rnacentral:rRNA from 1 species
CCUACGGGAGGCAGCAGUGGGGAAUAUUGCGCAAUGGGCGAAAGCCUGACGCAGCAACGCCGCGUGCGGGAUGAAGGCCUUCGGGUUGUAAACCGCUUUCAGCAGGGAAGAAGCCGCAAGGUGACGGUACCUGCAGAAGAAGCACCGGCUAACUACGUGCCAGCAGCCGCGGUAAUACGUAGGGUGCAAGCGUUGUCCGGAUUUAUUGGGCGUAAAGAGCUCGUAGGCGGUCUGUUACGUCGGAUGUGAAAACCCGGAGCUUAACUCCGGGCCUGCAUUCGAUACGGGCAGACUUGAGUGUGGUAGGGGAGACUGGAAUUCCUGGUGUAGCGGUGAAAUGCGCAGAUAUCAGGAGGAACACCGAUGGCGAAGGCAGGUCUCUGGGCCACAACUGACGCUGAGGAGCGAAAGCGUGGGGAGCAAACAGGAUUAGAUACCCUGGUAGUCCACGCCGUAAACGGUGGGCGCUAGGUGUGGGGAACCUUCCACGUUCUCCGUGCCGCAGCUAACGCAUUAAGCGCCCCGCCUGGGGAGUACGGCCGCAAGGCUAAAACUCAAAGGAAUUGACGG